rnacentral:lncRNA from 1 species
AAAUCUCCACACAUAAAUAAGCUAGCAAUACUCCUAUUUAUAAUAGUAUGAAUCAGAUACAUUAAUUAUGGCUCACGGACUUCAGUAAAUCAGAGAAUGACCAAGGCAAUUGCGUCACCUGCUUGCACUUAAAAUCUGUGGUACUAAUUUGUUAAAACUUCUUUACCUGCUUGCACUAUUCCAGGCUUAUUGACCUAUUUGAAUACUAAAUAAAUUGCAGAUGAUAUUUUACUAAUAAACGGUCUGCACAUGAUUGAAGAGCUCAUUUGAGAGAUGGAGCUGCCGACUGACUUCAUCAAUUUAAUAGUCUUCUCAAAAUUCCUAAAUUAUGAACAUAAAACUAUCUGAAGAGAAGAAAAGCUCAUAGGUGUAUCUGUAUCACUCACUGCUUCAUACUUCUCCAUUAUCCAGCAGCCCCAAUUAACUAUCUCUGACGAAUUAUUCCUUUUUUUUAUUAACCAUGGUGUCCAGGCCAGCUUAUGCACGCCUCAACUAAUUCCACAAAUUGCCUGCAAAGAUCUGUUCCAGUAGAAAUUUUGAGUUGUCAUGACAUAGAAUCAUUAAACUAUGUUGCAUACUCAGUAAAUCAAGGUUUUAUAAAGUCAUGACACAAUGAAAAAAGUCAUCAAAUCAGGUAAAUUAUGUAAGAAGAAAUCAAGAAAUGGCACCCUAAAUGAUUGUUUACUUUACCAUUGAGGCAAUCUUUUUAAAGACAAAAUCAAUUUGCAUUUAGCAUCGCGUCUAUAACUCCUAGGUUUAUAUACCGAAACAACCAAAAAAAGAGUUUAUCGUGAACACUCUAAAGAGGUAACAAACCACAUCUUCAAGUGAACCAACUCCAAAACGUUUUAGUAUAAUAAAGUUAGCAGCACCAUAAUAAAUAUUUACACUUUUAAAUUAUUGUGUCAAAGGAAAAACUUACUUAAAACCUAGAUAAAGUCUUUAAAUUGCAAUGCACAGUACGUCAACGUUGUUUUCAAUUGGAGUAAAGGAAUGAAUUGUACAGAAUACAGAUACUUUCUUUUCUUUCUUUUUCCUUUCAAAAUACAGAUGCUUUUCAUGGCGGCUAGAAAGAAAGUAGAUGUAGCGAAAUUAAAUCCUAGAAACCGAUCAACAAAGGUGUUAUGUUGUCGUUGAACAAUUUUAAAGUCAAUAAACAUGAAGCAUGUACUAUUAAGAAUGAGAAUCUAUGGAGUAGAAGAAAAAACCUUUUUUUGAGAUGGAGAAGAAAAAACCUUUUUUUGAGAUGGAGAAGAAAAAACCUUUUAAAUAUCAAACAAGCUUCACUUUAUACUGUGUUGUGCCUACUCUAACUAAUGUCUAAGAUAUUCAAACCAUAGGCAUGCUAAAUGGCCAACUUGUAUUUUAAAGGCUGGACUUGUCGUAGAAAGUAGUAACAUCAUUUUGCUUUCUUAUUCUACUUUCUUUUCUUGUAUCAUCUAUUGGAUCUAAAGAAGUACUGGUUAGUCACUCUUCAUUCAUUUCUAAUAAUCUAUUCUUAGUAAAAUGCCUAUCAAUACCAUGUCUCGGGACAACUUUGGUUGGGUUCCUAUGAUUCAUGGGUAAUCUGUUGGCACAACUCCUCAGCUAGUCAGAGUUAUUUCUUUGAAAAGACUAAUCACCUGAAAAGCCGGAAGAAAGGAGUUGAAAUUAAUUUUUUUAUCAAGAAUAAGGGAGUUGAAACUACUAAACCUGAAUGUAGAAUUCAGCAUAUUUACAUUGGAUAUUAUAACUAACUGAAUCAAAUGAUUCUCAGGAUGAGUCACAUUCUUGCAGAUUAACCAAACAACUAAGAUGAUAUGGAAGUAAGAAAUACAGAGUUAAAGAAUGAAAAUGAAUAAGUAAUUUUCCUACCAAAGCUCGUCCGGCCAAGAAAUUGAGCUAUCAACCCCUACAGUAGUCUUAGAAUACAAAACAUUUUUCAAUUGAGAGAGAUAUGGUGUAAGUUUAAUUUCGAGUAGCUUGUCUAAAGGGAGUUCAAAGAAGUCAUACCAAGAUCGAAGAAUGAACUUACUAUAUACAUUGCAAAUGUGAUAAAUUGAACACAAUAAGAUACUUUAUAUUUGUAAAUCAUAAAUAUUCUAUUUCCUCCAGUUGGUUUGCCAAUAAAGCACGCUCCUCAACAGUGUCAUAUAUGCCUUUAAUGUUGUCCUCUUUAAUGUAACCAGGAAGCACUACUUCACUGCAAGUGACAAAAGAAAACAAUGAAAGCAGUUAGGUAAAUUUUGUAAUAAAGCUAUCAAUACUAAAUAGGAAAGGACGUUGUUGGAUAAGAGAGACCAAGAAUCUUGAUUUUACCUUGUAGUAUUACCAAGCAUACAAUUCAAGAUCCUAACGAAAGUGUGUUGUAUCCUGGGCUAGAUCCUAGCUGUAUAAAAACUUGAUUUCCUCCAAAGAUGCUCCAUAGUUUCCACAAUGACAUUCAAGCUUUUCAUGGAAGGUGUAUACAGAGUCAAAUGCAGUUGCACUGCAGAAACCUUCAUUCCAAAUAACAAGUGUAGCAUGUCAACCUUUUCUUUGCCGCAGAUCCAUUGAUAAAAAACUUGACUUUCUCGACGGUAAGUACUCCAAUCACCUUAGAAACCUAUAGAACAACUAUCAUUCUUUUUCAUCGAGCAGAAAGAAAGAGCAAAGACAGUUACAGAAACAAUUAAUACAUACAAAUUUGAAACCAUGAAGCUUUUCUUUUUAUCUUAUCUGUAGCUUUGCCUUUUCUCUCUCUUUUAAAUUGCAUAAUGAUAUGUAUAAAUAUUUUUUUUCCCUGUAAAUUACACUUAAGACUUCAGUAAUAUACUCUAGUGCAACAUGGAUGGAAGGCUAUUAUAAUUUUUUAGGAGUAACCAUUACAUUUUCUUUUUAAAAGAUCUUCUCAAUAUAGUUGGAAAAUUUUCACUUAUUCACUCGCUAACAAAAGUAAUUCUUUCUUGAAUGUGAAUCUUUUAUUUCGUCUUGUAGAUUUCACUCUUCUAAAUGAAUUCACAGAACCCUCGUGCCAUAUUUGUUCUAAACUUAAGACAAUACACUAAUAAUCCAAUUAAGAUAUAAAAUACAUCUAAGGGUAGUUGUAUCAAUAUUUGUCUAGUGUGGAACAAUAUCUAAAGAGCUUAACUCUUCUAACUGACAACUCUCUAUCAUUCUGCGCCAACACUUGGCAUCAUGUUUUCCAAUCUCUCCUAGAUAAAUGAUUUAUAAAGUAGAUUAAAUCUAACUUGUGUGACUUUUACCUCAGUUAAAACCAUAAGAAAGUUGUCCAGCACUAUCUCAAUUAAGUACAUGUAUUUCCUGCAAACUAUUCUUCUUUUUCGGUCUCAUUGUUAAUUUUGGAAGCACAUAUAAGAAUAUUAGGAGCUGAUAAAUCUGUUGCUACGAUCACAUCAUCAUCAUCUAAUGUAGUUACACGACCAUACCAAUCUUCUAUAUUCUAAAAGUUAAAUUUAUUUCUUUGCAAUGACUUGACCAAUCUGUCAUGUGAUAAUAAUUUUCUUCCAGGUAACAUAUAUCCCAAAGCUAACCGAAAUUAAAUAAAAUAAAUCUGUCGUGGCCCACACAAAGAAAACUCGACCUCUCCAACAUUUCAGCAGCCAGAGUCUCAAAUCUUUCCAACCUCACCAACUCCCUAUUCCUUUCCUGCCACCCCCUUUAAGUCAGCAUUCAUCUCGACAAUUUCGCGACAUAGCGUCUCUUUCCCUUUUUCCGAUGUCCCUGUCUUUCUUCUCUUUACUUCUCUUCUGUUAUCAAAUUUCCUAAACCUUAAUCCAAAUCAAAAUCCGGAGAAUCCAAUAAAAUAUGUCAAGCAAUUGGUUAUCGCUUUUUAAGUAUUAAAACCGAAAAAAUACACCUCAUCCUGAAAUCACUUAUAGUAUCGAAUUGCCAUGAAUUCUAUGUUAGCUUUAACUAACAACUUAAUCAAUAUAUGUAGUUUGCUAUAUGUCAAUUAAUAAGACGAGUAGAGCCAUAAGAUUUAUCAGGAUGAAACAGAAAGCUAGCUAAAAGAACCAAGUCGAACUUGUUACCAGAGUAGCACACAACAACGAACAUGAAAUUUCAGCAAAAGCAAGUCUCACCUCUCAGCAGAACUCGAAAUUUUAUGUUUCAGCAAUGCCAACACGGAGAACAACAGGGAGAAGAAAAUGAAUCACUCAGCAGCCGCAAAAAGAAAAUCGACCUGCGCAAAACAGAGUGAGGAAGGGGAUGAGCUGACAAACGGUGAGUCCAACUGCGUUGGCGGCCACGUUUUACAAGACCGACACUCGUAACUCUUUGAAAAUACAUAUCCAGCAUUGACUCCAACCCUAUAAGAAUGACCUCAACCCAAAUUACAUAGCUUUAAUUCCAAACCUAAAAGGAAAAACAAAGACGGAACGACAGAGAUCUACCAACACAGACACAAGGGAAGAUUGAAGAAUUGCACACCACGUGUUUGACAGCAAAGUACACCUCAACACCUGAUAGACGCGACAAACAUCUUAUUACAAAUCGUCAUCUUCUCCAGUUUUGCUUUGGCCUGAAGAGUUAUAGUGGAAGCAACUUGGGCUUGAGUUCAAUUCGACCAGAACUUUCGAAUACCAAAAAACGAGGAACAAAAUCAACAGCCCACAAUAUCAAACUUAGGGAGAAAACGAAGGGGAAAAGAGAGAUCUAUACCUUGAAGAAUCUAAACUCUAAAGAGAGGCAGAGAGGAUAGAAAGAGAGAGAGAGAGCACGGGGGAGACGAGAAACUGAAGACCGUGCUUACGUGUUGAACAAAAGGGACGUACACGAGAACAAUUUUAAGCCACUUAGAGGGCAGAUUUCCAAAAAUAACCCCGAAGCAGAGAUGGAAAAUUCCAAAAAUAAACCAGAAGCAGGACGACGAAUAGCACCUCAACUCCCCCUUCUAAAUAAGUAUAAUUAUAAUAUAACUAGUAGAGAAUGGCCGUGCUGAACCCGGGCCCGAAUCUAUUUAAGUUAACAAUUUAUAUUAUUUUAGUGGAUAAUUUUUCAAAGAG